rnacentral:rRNA from 1 species
UACGUAGGGGGCAAGCGUUGUCCGGAAUUACUGGGCGUAAAGGGCGCGUAGGCGGCCAUCUAAGUCAGACGUGAAAUCCCCCGGCUUAACCGGGGAACUGCGUCUGAUACUGGAUGGCUUGAGGUUGGGAGAGGGAUGCGGAAUUCCAGGUGUAGCGGUGAAAUGCGUAGAUAUCUGGAGGAACACCGGUGGCGAAGGCGGCAUCCUGGACCAAUUCUGACGCUGAGUGAGCGAAAGCCAGGGGAGCAAACGGG